rnacentral:ncRNA from 1 species
CGCUAGGGGAGCUUUGGCUGAGAUGGUAAGAAAUUACUGACCCUCAUCACCUGAUCCGGGUAGUGCCGGCGUAGGGAAGCGAG